rnacentral:rRNA from 2 species
UAACCUGCCUGGUAGCGGGGGAUAACUAUUGGAAACGAUAGCUAAUACCGCAUAAGAGUAGAUGUUGCAUGACAUUUGCUUAAAAGGUGCAAUUGCAUCACUACCAGAUGGACCUGCGUUGUAUUAGCUAGUUGGUGAGGUAACGGCUCACCAAGGCAACGAUACAUAGCCGACCUGAGAGGGUGAUCGGCCACACUGGGACUGAGACACGGCCCAG